UGGGGAAUUUUGUGCAAUGGGCGAAAGCCUGACACAGCGACACCGCGUGAGCGAAGAAGCCCUUUGGGGUGUAAAGCUCUGUCGGCUGGAACGAAAAAAAUGACGGUACCAGCAGAGGAAGCAUCGGCUAACUACGUGCCAGCAGCCGCGGUAAGACGUAGGAUGCGAGCGUUGUCCGGAUUUAUUGGGCGUAAAGAGUUCGUAGGUGGUUUGUUAAGUCUGAUGUUAAAGAACGAGGCUCAACCUCGGAAAUGCAUUGGAUACUGACAGACUUGAGUGCAGUAGAGGCGAGUGGAAUUCCCAGUGUAGCGGUGAAAUGCGUAGAUAUUGGGAAGAACACCAGUGGCGUAAGCGACUCGCUGGGCUGUAACUGACACUGAGGAACGAAAGCCAGGGGAGCAAAUGGGAUUAGAUACCCCCGUAGUCC
rnacentral:rRNA from 1 species